rnacentral:rRNA from 1 species
CUACGGAGGGUGCAAGCGUUAUCCGGAAUCAUUGGGUUUAAAGGGUCCGUAGGCGGAUUAUUAAGUCAGAGGUGAAAUCCCACAGCUUAACUGUGGAACUGCCUUUGAUACUGGUAGUCUUGAGUUAUAUGGAAGUAGAUAGAAUGUGUAGUGUAGCGGUGAAAUGCAUAGAUAUUACACAGAAUACCGAUUGCGAAGGCAGUCUACUACGUAUAUACUGACGCUAAUGGACGAAAGCGUGGGGAGCGAACAGGAUUAGAUACCCUAGUAGUCC